rnacentral:rRNA from 1 species
GUCGACGCGAAAGAAGCCUUCGGGCUUCGAGUAGAGUGGCGCACGGGUGAGUAACACGUAGGUAAUCUACCUUCGGGUGGGGAAUAACGCAGGGAAACUUGCGCUAAUACCGCAUAAUGCAGCGGCACCACAUGGUGACAGUUGUUAAAGCGGGGGAUUUUCGGACCUCGCGCCUGGAGAGGAGCCUGCGGCAGAUUAGCUAGUUGGUAGGGUAACGGCUUACCAAGGCGACGAUCUGUAGCCGGCCUGAGAGGGCGGUCGGCCACACUGACACUGACAUACGGGUCAGACUCCUACGGGAGGCAGCAGUCGGGAAUUUUGGGCAAUGGGCGAAAGCCUGACCCAGCAACGCCGCGUGAAGGAUGAAAUCCUUCGGGAUGUAAACUUCGCAAGAAUGGGAAGAAUUAGCGAGUAUUAAUACUGCUCGUGAUGACGGUACCAUUUGUAAGCUCCGGCUAACUCCGUGCCAGCAGCCGCGGUAAUACGGGGGGAGCAAGCGUUGUUCGGAUUUACUGGGCGUAAAGGGCGCGUAGGCGGCCAGCGCAAGUCAGUUGUGAAAUCUCCGGGCUUAACUCGGAGAGGUCAACUGAUACUGCGCGGCUAGAGUGCGGAAGGGGCAACUGGAAUUCUCGGUGUAGCGGUGAAAUGCGUAGAUAUCGAGAGGAACACCUGCGGCGAAGGCGGGUUGCUGGGCCGACACUGACGCUGAUGCGCGAAAGCCAGGGGAGCGAACGGGAUUAGAUACCCCGGUAGUCCUGGCCUUAAACGAUGGAUGCUUGGUGUCUGGAGUUUUAUAGUCUCCGGGUGCCGCAGCUAACGCGUUAAGCAUCCCGCCUGGGGAGUACGGUCG